CAGCACUCACAGUCAGCCGCUUUAUCAUCCAUUGCUCCAUUAACCUCAUCCACCUGGUCAACACAAUUCAAACAUACCAGAUACAGACUCAGUUAAAACAGAUAUGGGUGCAAGUCAUGACACUUUUACAGAUUAAAGAUGUCCGAGAUUCACGAUGAAUGCUGUUUGAAGAAGAAUGAACAGAAUCACAUUUUAAUUUAAUCUCACUGCCAAUGUGGACUUAAAGAGGACGGACUCUGUUAUGACAACUGUAUUUUUAAGUAACAGAGAUAAGGGUGUUAUUGGAAUCAUUUCAAUAAAAUAUGGGAGUACCGGUACAUACCAGUUUGAUAUCUUGAUUAGACUGGGACUUAAACAAAAACGAUAGAUAUUGGACCUCUCUAAUACACAUUAUAAACAUCUCAUGUCUUAAGUCAAUAACAAAGCUGUAAUAAGGCGAUAUUUAGUGUAAUUAACACUUAGGGCUAUUCUCCUAAAACAUAUAACCACCGGGUUUGGCAGAUUUUUAAUAAUAUAUGGUUGGUCUUUUUUGCUAAUUUGCACCCCAAAAGGCACAUUUGCUUUUGUAUGGGGUUGGCAUAAAAACUUAAUAAAUGCCUUCCCUCCAGUGGUUAUAUUUUUAAAUGGACAAAAUAUCAAACUGGUAUGUACCUUAUCAACAUUUUUAGCUGGACUAUUUGAAUAAUAAGGAGGGUUAUACCACUCGCCUCAGCAUCUGCUUUGGCUUUAGCGUCCGGUUAAAGUUUAAGACCAAGUUGGGAUUUUCACUCAUAGGGAUUUUCACUCAUAACUGCAAAACCCUUCAUUAAAGUCACUUAAUACUCCAUACAGUUGUUC